rnacentral:tRNA from 1 species
GCCGAGGUGGCGGAACAGGAAGACGCGGUGGACUCAAAAUCCACUGGGGUUUGCACCCCGUGCGGGUUCGACUCCCGCCCUCGGCA